AAUGCACCCCUCUUCCUCCCCGGGGCCUUCCACCUCCGCGAGUUUUAUGACUUAAAAAAGCCCACAGGCUGGUCUGAAGAGGAAGACAAACAUAAAGAUGAAGUGCUUAAUUCAAGGUCACACAAUGUCGGGGAUGGACCUCCAGAUUUCCUUACUGACCUGCAUUAUCUUGUGGAUACCUGAGUGAAUUCCACACCACCCAUUUUAUAGAUGAAACCACUGAGACAUGGAGCAAUUGACUGAGUAGUCACUGCCCCACCCCUGCCUGGAGCCUCACACAUGACUCGCCUCCUCUCAGUGACCACAGGAAAACAAGCUCAGGGCUCCCACUGAUUGUACAUUAUGGUGAGACGUGGUCUUGUAACACAGUGGUUAAGAAUGUGACUUUGGAGCCAGCCUGCUAGGGGCUGAAUUCUGACUCAGCCAUUUACUAACUGUGUGACCUUAGGGAGGAGGACCUGGUUGAUAGAAGAAUUUAUCUCGUAGUCUUAACAUCCACUGUAAUUCCAAACUUUGAGGACGAUAGAGAUCAGUGGGCUUUGACUGCCCAGCAUGCAGUCUCCAUUCUUAGGUCACAGAAUUUUCCACACUCCUUGACAGAGGUGCUUAACCCUUAUCCAUCAGCAUUCUCAGACAGCACCUCCGGUUAGGGACAGUAUCUGACCGUCCGACAUCCCUGCAGCCCCCAUGUGUCACACAGACUCAGCCUCAGGUAGAUGGUUUCCGUAGAUGGUGGCUUUCUU
rnacentral:lncRNA from 10 species